rnacentral:lncRNA from 1 species
GGCAUAGGGGUCGGGUGGGGCUCGUUCGGGGUGCACAACGGUUGCGCCAAAAACGGUCCAAAAAUGGCCAAGGCUUUACCAUACGAAAAAUCGGCCGAUUUUUAACCAUGCGAGAAACGUCCCGAAAAUUCACAGAUAACUACUAGGCGGCCUCACUUUGAGUAAUAUUAAAGUUUUUUCCCACAAAAACAGCUCGGAGAUGCCCAGACUCAGUUUUUAUUUUCGUCCCAAUACUUUUCUUCCCAUGGUUUAGUUGUGUUCCUUUGAUCUUGUGCAACCUAUUUAGACCGAUGAUAGCCCGCGGAUAGGUGUGGAAACCCAUCUAUAUUGCACCCAGUAUGACACAGAAAAAAAUCCCAGGGCAUAGGGGUCGGGUGGGGCUCGUUCGGGGUGCACAACGGUUGCGCCAAAAACGGUCCAAAAAUGGCCAAGGCUUUACCAUACGAAAAAUCGGCCAGGUUUUAACCAUGCGAGAAACGUCCCGAAAACUCACAGAUAACUACUAGGCGGCCUCACUUUGAGUAAUAUUAAAGUUUUUUCCCACAAAAAAGCUCGGAGAUGCCCAGACUCAGUUUUUAUUUUUUCGUCCCAAUACUUUUCUUCCCAUGGUUUGGUUGUGUUCCUUUGAUAUUUUGCGACCUAUUUAGACCUAUGAUUGCCCGCGGAUAGGUGUGGAAACCCAUCUAUAUUGCACCCAGUAUGACACAGAAAAAAAUCCCAGGGCAUAGGGGUCGGGUGGGGCUCGUUCGGGGUGCACAACGGUUGCGCCAAAAACGGUCCA